GUGACCUGGAAGAUAUUCUGACAAGAAUGAAGAAGAAAGGGAUGGAAACGCAGAAGGAUGAACACCCAUCUGUCGAGAAGCCUGUGAAGAAGAGGAGCGAUGGCUCGAAGAAGCCCCAGGCCACAUUGCCUUCUAGUAAACGGGUGAAGUCUACCUCUGAUGGACGCCUCCUACGCCGCCCAAAAGCCCAGGUCACGUUACCUCCGGCU